GCGAGUUACGAUUUGAUGCAAGGUUAAGCAGUAAAUGUGGAGCCGUAGCGAAAGCGAGUCUGAAUAGGGCGUUUAGUAUUUGGUCGUAGACCCGAAACCAGGUGAUCUACCCUUGGUCAGGUUGAAGUUCAGGUAACACUGAAUGGAGGACCGAACCGACUUACGUUGAAAAGUGAGCGGAUGAACUGAGGGUAGCGGAGAAAUUCCAAUCGAACCUGGAGAUAGCUGGUUCUCUCCGAAAUAGCUUUAGGGCUAGCCUCAAGUGAUGAUUAUUGGAGGUAGAGCACUGUUUGGACGAGGGGCCCCUCUCGGGUUACCGAAUUCAGACAAACUCCGAAUGCCAAUUAAUUUAACUUGGGAGUCAGAACAUGGGUGAUAAGGUCCGUGUUCGAAAGGGAAACAGCCCAGACCACCAGCUAAGGUCCCAAAAUAUAUGUUAAGUGGAAAAGGAUGUGGCGUUGCCCAGACAACUAGGAUGUUGGCUUAGAAGCAGCCAUCAUUUAAAGAGUGCGUAAUAGCUCACUAGUCGAGUGACACUGCGCCGAAAAUGUACCGGGGCUAAACAUAUUACCGAAGCUGUGGAUUGUCCUUUGGACAAUGGUAGGAGAGCGUUCUAAGGGCGUUGAAGCAUGAUCGUAAGGACAUGUGGAGCGCUUAGAAGUGAGAAUGCCGGUGUGAGUAGCGAAAGACGGGUGAGAAUCCCGUCCACCGAUUGACUAAGGUUUCCAGAGGAAGGCUCGUCCGCUCUGGGUUAGUCGGGUCCUAAGCUGAGGCCGACAGGCGUAGGCGAUGGAUAACAGGUUGAUAUUCCUGUACCACCUAUAAUCGUUUUA
rnacentral:rRNA from 1 species